GACGAACGCUGGCGGCGUGCUUAACACAUGCAAGUCGAACGAAGUGGCGAACGGGUGAGUAACGCGUAAUCAACCUGCCCUUCAGAGGGGGACAACAGUUGGAAACGACUGCUAAUACCGAAUACUGAUGGGGGGGAUUGCGUCUGAUUAGCUAGUUGGUGGGGUAACGGCCCACCAAGGCGAUGCUACGUAGGCGGUCUGGGACGGUGGACGGCCAAAAUGGGAAUGGGACACGGCCCAGACUCCUUCGGGAGGCAGCAGUGGGGAAUCUUCCGCAAUGGACGAAAGGCUGACGGAGCAACGCCGCGUGAGUGAUGACGGCCUUUGGGUUUUAAAGCUCUUUUAAUCGGGACGCGGUACCGGAAUAGAAAGCCACGGCUAACUACGUGCCAGCAGCCGCGGUAAUAC
rnacentral:rRNA from 1 species